rnacentral:rRNA from 1 species
UAGGGAAUCUUCGGCAAUGGGGGGAACCCUGACCGAGCAACGCCGCGUGAGUGAAGAAGGUUUUCGGAUCGUAAAGCUCUGUUGUUAAGGAAGAACGAGUGUGAGAAUGGAAAGUUCAUACUGUGACGGUACUUAACCAGAAAGGGACGGCUAACUACGUGCCAGCAGCCGCGGUAAUACGUAGGUCCCGAGCGUUGUCCGGAUUUAUUGGGCGUAAAGCGAGCGCAGGCGGUUAGAUAAGUCUGAAGUUAAAGGCAGUGGCUCAACCAUUGUAGGCUUUGGAAACUGUGUAACUGGAGUGCAGAAGGGGAGAGUGGAAUUCCAUGUGUAGCGGUGAAAUGCGUAGAUAUAAGGAGGAACACCGGUGGCGAAAGCGGCUCUCUGGUCUGUAACUGACGCUGAGGCUAGAAAGCGUGGGGAGCGAACAGG